GACUUAUCAACCACUUCAAAUGUUUUGAUGUGGCUUGGAUGUGGGGGUUUCUUUUGCCGGCUUUUUCUUUUACAGAAGGCCAGCUCCCCUGAAACUUAUUAGUGGUAUCUGAGCUGCUGCUAUUGGUGUGAUAAUUAUCUAUGCCUUUGGUAUGCUGCAUGAACAGAUUGCGCUGCUUAUAACAAUUGAAUUUGACAA
rnacentral:misc_RNA from 1 species